AUAAUACUCCAUAGAUUAGAGACACUGGAAUGUUCUUUAGUCGAAAGUUCUGGCGCCUUAGGAUGGAUCUGCGGUCGAUUAGGUUGUUGUUGGGGUAACGGCCCAACAAGCCUGUAAUUGAUACGGGUUGUGGGAGCAAGAGCCCGGAGAUGGAAUCUGAGACACGAUUCCAGGCCCUACGGGGCGCAGCAGGCGCGAAAACUUUACAAUGCAGGAAACUGUGAUAAGGGAACUCCGAGUGCCCGUAUACGCGGGCUGUCCAGGUGUUUAAAAAUCAUCUGAAGAAAGGGCCGGGCAAGACCGGUGCCAGCCGCCGCGGUAAUACCGGCGGCUCGAGUGGUGGCCACUAUUAUUGGGCUUAAAGCGUCCGUAGCUGGACCGAUAAGUCUCUUGGGGAAUCCGCCGGCUCAACCGGCGGGCGUCUAAGGGAUACUGUUAGUCUAGGGACCGGGAGAGGUGAGAGGUACUCCGGGGGUAGGAGUGAAAUCCUGUAAUCCCCGGGGGACCACCGAUGGCGAAGGCAUCUCACCAGAACGGCUCCGACAGUGAGGGACGAAAGCUGGGGGAGCGAACCGGAUUAGAUACCCGGGUAGUCCCAGCCGUAAACUAUGCGCGUUAGGUGU
rnacentral:rRNA from 1 species